rnacentral:rRNA from 1 species
GGGUUGUGAGGUUAAGCGACUAAGCGUACACGGUGGAUGCCCUGGCAGUCAGAGGCGAUGAAGGACGUGCUAAUCUGCGAUAAGCGUCGGUGAGGUGAUAUGAACCGUUAUAACCGGCGAUUUCCGAAUGGGGAAACCCAGUGUGUUUCGACACACUAUCAUUAACUGAAUCCAUAGGUUAAUGAGGCGAACCGGGGGAACUGAAACAUCUAAGUACCCCGAGGAAAAGAAAUCAACCGAGAUUCCCCAGUAGCGGCGAGCGAACGGGGAGGAGCCCAGAGCCUGAAUCAGUGUGUGUGUUAGUGGAAGCGUCUGGAAAGGCGCGCGAUACAGGGUGACAGCCCCGUACACAAAAAUGCACAUAUUGUGAGCUCGAUGAGUAGGGCGGGACACGUGGUAUCCUGUCUGAAUAUGGGGGGACCAUCCUCCAAGGCUAAAUACUCCUGACUGACCGAUAGUGAACCAGUACCGUGAGGGAAAGGCGAAAAGAACCCCGGCGAGGGGAGUGAAAAAGAACCUGAAACCGUGUACGUACAAGCAGUGGGAGCCUCUUAAUGGGGUGACUGCGUACCUUUUGUAUAAUGGGUCAGCGACUUAUAUUCUGUAGCAAGGUUAACCGAAUAGGGGAGCCGAAGGGAAACCGAGUCUUAACUGGGCGUUAAGUUGCAGGGUAUAGACCCGAAACCCGGUGAUCUAGCCAUGGGCAGGUUGAAGGUUGGGUAACACUAACUGGAGGACCGAACCGACUAAUGUUGAAAAAUUAGCGGAUGACUUGUGGCUGGGGGUGAAAGGCCAAUCAAACCGGGAGAUAGCUGGUUCUCCCCGAAAGCUAUUUAGGUAGCGCCUCGUGAAUUCAUCUCCGGGGGUAGAGCACUGUUUCGGCAAGGGGGUCAUCCCGACUUACCAACCCGAUGCAAACUGCGAAUACCGGAGAAUGUUAUCACGGGAGACACACGGCGGGUGCUAACGUCCGUCGUGAAGAGGGAAACAACCCAGACCGCCAGCUAAGGUCCCAAAGUCAUGGUUAAGUGGGAAACGAUGUGGGAAGGCCCAGACAGCCAGGAUGUUGGCUUAGAAGCAGCCAUCAUUUAAAGAAAGCGUAAUAGCUCACUGGUCGAGUCGGCCUGCGCGGAAGAUGUAACGGGGCUAAACCAUGCACCGAAGCUGCGGCAGCGACACUAUGUGUUGUUGGGUAGGGGAGCGUUCUGUAAGCCUGUGAAGGUGUACUGUGAGGUAUGCUGGAGGUAUCAGAAGUGCGAAUGCUGACAUAAGUAACGAUAAAGCGGGUGAAAAGCCCGCUCGCCGGAAGACCAAGGGUUCCUGUCCAACGUUAAUCGGGGCAGGGUGAGUCGACCCCUAAGGCGAGGCCGAAAGGCGUAGUCGAUGGGAAACAGGUUAAUAUUCCUGUACUUGGUGUUACUGCGAAGGGGGGACGGAGAAGGCUAUGUUGGCCGGGCGACGGUUGUCCCGGUUUAAGCGUGUAGGCUGGUUUUCCAGGCAAAUCCGGAAAAUCAAGGCUGAGGCGUGAUGACGAGGCACUACGGUGCUGAAGCGACAAAUGCCCUGCUUCCAGGAAAAGCCUCUAAGCAUCAGGUAACAUCAAAUCGUACCCCAAACCGACACAGGUGGUCAGGUAGAGAAUACCAAGGCGCUUGAGAGAACUCGGGUGAAGGAACUAGGCAAAAUGGUGCCGUAACUUCGGGAGAAGGCACGCUGAUAUGUAGGUGAAGCGACUUGCUCGUGGAGCUGAAAUCAGUCGAAGAUACCAGCUGGCUGCAACUGUUUAUUAAAAACACAGCACUGUGCAAACACGAAAGUGGACGUAUACGGUGUGACGCCUGCCCGGUGCCGGAAGGUUAAUUGAUGGGGUUAGCGGUAACGCGAAGCUCUUGAUCGAAGCCCCGGUAAACGGCGGCCGUAACUAUAACGGUCCUAAGGUAGCGAAAUUCCUUGUCGGGUAAGUUCCGACCUGCACGAAUGGCGUAAUGAUGGCCAGGCUGUCUCCACCCGAGACUCAGUGAAAUUGAACUCGCUGUGAAGAUGCAGUGUACCCGCGGCAAGACGGAAAGACCCCGUGAACCUUUACUAUAGCUUGACACUGAACAUUAAGCCUUGAUGUGUAGGAUAGGUGGGAGGCUUUGAAGUGUGGACGCCAGUCUGCAUGGAGCCGACCUUGAAAUACCACCCUUUAAUGUUUGAUGUUCUAACGUGGGCCCCUUACCGGGGUUGCGGACAGUGUCUGGUGGGUAGUUUGACUGGGGCGGUCUCCUCCUAAAGAGUAACGGAGGAGCACGAAGGUUGGCUAAUCCUGGUCGGACAUCAGGAGGUUAGUGCAAUGGCAUAAGCCAGCUUGACUGCGAGCGUGACGGCGCGAGCAGGUGCGAAAGCAGGUCAUAGUGAUCCGGUGGUUCUGAAUGGAAGGGCCAUCGCUCAACGGAUAAAAGGUACUCCGGGGAUAACAGGCUGAUACCGCCCAAGAGUUCAUAUCGACGGCGGUGUUUGGCACCUCGAUGUCGGCUCAUCACAUCCUGGGGCUGAAGUAGGUCCCAAGGGUAUGGCUGUUCGCCAUUUAAAGUGGUACGCGAGCUGGGUUUAGAACGUCGUGAGACAGUUCGGUCCCUAUCUGCCGUGGGCGCUGGAGAACUGAGGGGGGCUGCUCCUAGUACGAGAGGACCGGAGUGGACGCAUCACUGGUGUUCGGGUUGUCAUGCCAAUGGCACUGCCCGGUAGCUAAAUGCGGAAGAGAUAAGUGCUGAAAGCAUCUAAGCACGAAACUUGCCCCGAGAUGAGUUCUCCCUGACUCCUUGAGAGUCCUGAAGGAACGUUGAAGACGACGACGUUGAUAGGCCGGGUGUGUAAGCGCAGCGAUGCGUUGAGCUAACCGGUACUAAUGAACCGUGAGGCUUAACCUUACAACGCCGAAG